GACGAACGCUGGCGGCGUGCUUAACACAUGCAAGUCGAACGGAAAGGCCCUGCUUUUGUGGGGUGCUCGAGUGGCGAACGGGUGAGUAACACGUGAGUCACCUGCCCUUGACUUUGGGAUAACUUCAGGAAACUGGGGCUAAUACCGGAUAGGAGCUCCUGCUGCAUGGUGGGGGUUGGAAAGUUUCGGCGGUUGGGGAUGGACUCGCGGCUUAUCAGCUUGUUGGUGGGGUAGUGGCUUACCAAGGCUUUGACGGGUAGCCGGCCUGAGAGGGUGACCGGCCACAUGGGGACUGAGAGACGGCCCAGACGCCUACGGGAGGCAGCAGUGGGGAAUAUUGCACAAUGGGCGGAAGCCUGAUGCAGCAACGCCGCGUGCGGGAUGACGGCCUUCGGGUUGUAAACCGCUUUCGCCUGUGACGAAGCGUGAGUGACGGUAAUGGGUAAAGAAGCACCGGCUAACUACGUG
rnacentral:rRNA from 1 species